rnacentral:lncRNA from 1 species
CUUCGCUGGGGUGGCUGGCAUCGCCGCGAACCGGGGUUCCAGGAGCCGCCGGGGCGGCCGCAGGUAACCUUCCACAGGCCCACACAUGUGUUAUCAGCCAUACCUUAGGACAGAAGGAAUGAGUUUGCAGAAAGGAUGCUCUUCAGAACUCAUGAAGACAUAAGGUGCUUCAAAAGAGGAGACUUUCGGAACAUGAGCAGGGAAAUUGUCACUUGAUAGAUGACAAGCAUUGUGAGAAACAACAGUUUGCCUUUCUUCAUUCCCUUCCUGGUUAUCUUUCCUGUCACAUGAAGAAGAAAUGAAACACCAGAGAGAAUCAGGUUAUCAUCAUCUACACCAGCCACUGUCACUGGCCUUCAAAGUUCAACCUCCCUGGAACUCCAGAACUCCCCACUUUAUAAGAUGAAUGGCUAAUUGGAUCCUAGUACAUAAGGAAACACUGGCAAAAUAGCGGUAUAUAACAAAUGUUUCUUUUUAUGAUAGAUCUACAUCUGAAACAACGGUGAAAAAGCAUGCAUUAAAUUAAAAAGCAUAGUCUUCCAUUUGUAAGUAAUUUUGUUAUGUGCUGCUUAUGGGAGAUUGUUUAGUUAAAGCUAUAUUACUGCAAAAGAGAGGCAAACAGAGACAGCACAGCACAUUAGUAAAACACUAAAGCUUUUAAUUUCCUCAUUCAUUCAUUAAAGAAAUAUUUUCUUAGAGAUUAUGUUUGGCAAUAUGACACAUUUUUGUAGAAAAAUGCAAUGAGACAAUAAUAAAAGUUGUCUUAUAGAAACAACUUCUGCGAUUAAGAAACUUAUAAAAUUUAAGACACAAGGUAAGGUGCUAGUUACAUACUAUGAAGAUAAUGAUUAUUAACAUUUAUUGGGCUCUGUGCCAGGUACAAGAUAUUAAUACAAAUUAAUGCAUCUGUUCCUCAGAAUAGUCAUCUAAGGAAGGUAGUGGUUUUCUAGGUAAGAAGUGUGAAACCCAAGGCUAGUAAAUUGAGUAAAUUAUGAAGCUAUGAUUAAAAUUUAGGUGAUUUGUCUCCAUGCCUAUCCUAUGCUAUCUCACUGUGCUAUAAUUAAAUGUAUAAUUAAAAGAAUGCUUCUUGUUAUAAUGUGUAAUUAAAUACAAAUGAAAAGCAUUAAGUUAAUUAAGCUUCAUUUCAAGAUGAAAUUAGUCAUGAAAAGUUUUUUUUGGAAGUGAUCAGCAUAUAACUUCAAUAAGGUUGGGUUUGAGUAUAAAUGAAAAUGAAGGAUGGUAUUUAUAGGUUAAAGGCACAGAGGUGACAAACAAUGAGGAUGUUCAAAUAGACAUGAACACAAGCAGAGGGUAUAUAGAAGGAAGUAAUGGGAAGUGAGGUUCCCUCUCCCAACAUUUUAUUAUAAAAUUGUUUUAAUACUCAGAAAAAUGAAAGAAUUGUAUGUAAACAUAAAUAUCUCGCUACCUUAAUUCUGUCAGUAACAUUUUAGUAUAUGUGUUUUGUCACAUAUCUAUCUGUCCCUCUUUCUGUAAGCCAAUCCAUCUUAAUUAUAAUUCAUUUCAAAGUAAGUUGCAGACAUCAGUAUAUUUCACCCCUAAACACUUCAUCACAUGUAUCAGUGAGUUCAAUAGUUGUUUAGUUAUAUUUUUGGAAGUAAAAGUUAUAUACAAUGAAUAACCAAAUCUUAAAUAUAGCAUUCAAUGAGUUUGACAAUUUCAUAUACAUUUAUAAAAUAAACCUUCAUCAAAAUAAAGAACACUACCAUUCCCGAAAUUUAUCUUUGGUUCUUAUCAGUUAUUUUUUGUAAUUGCCACCUCAGAGGCAACCAAUGCUCUGAUGCUUUUCAACCAUAGAUUAGUUUGCCUUUUUUAAGACUUCAUAUAAAAAGAAUUUCUUUCGUGUAUUUUUUUCAUUUAGUAUUUUG